ACAAAGUUUAACGGCCGCGGUACCCUGACCGUGCGAAGGUAGCAUAAUCACUUGUUCUUUAAAUAAGGACUUGUAUCAACGGCAUCACGAGGGCUGUACUGUCUCCUUUCUCUAAUCAGUGAAACUGAUCUCCCCGUGAAGAAGCGGGGAUUUAACUAUAAGACGAGAAGACCCCAUGGAGCUUUAAGCCCGGUAUAUAGCCCACGCCACAAUCCCACUAAGCUAUAAGGCCCUAAAUACCAGCUUUAGGUUGGGGGGACCGCGGAGUAAAAUCUAACCUCCACGACUAAUAGGCUUAGCCUUUAUCCACGAACGACACUUCUAAGAAUCAACAAACUGACGUUUCAUGACCCGACAAUUCGAUCAACGAACCAAGUUACCCUGGGGAUAACAGCGCAAUCCACUUCAAGAGUCCUUAUCGACAAGUGGGUUUACGACCUCGAUGUUGGAUCAGGGUAUCCCAGUGGUGCAGUCGCUACUAAAGGUUCGUUUGUUCAACGAUUAAAACCCUACGUGAUCUGAGUUUUCAACCGGAAGC
rnacentral:rRNA from 1 species